rnacentral:rRNA from 1 species
CCUGCCCUUGGGAGGGGAACAACAGCUGGAAACGGCUGCUAAUACCCCAUAGGCUGAGGAGCAAAAGGAGGAAUCCGCCCAAGGAGGGGCUCGCGUCUGAUUAGUUAGUUGGUGAGGCAAUGGCUUACCAAGGCGACGAUCAGUAGCUGGUCCGAGAGGAUGAUCAGCCACACUGGGACUGAGACACGGCCCAGACUCCUACGGGAGGCAGCAGUGGGGAAUUUUCCGCAAUGGGCGAAAGCCUGACGGAGCAAUGCCGCGUGAAGGCAGAAUGCCCACGGGUCAUGAACUUCUUUUCUCGGAGAA